UGGGACUAAAGGAGUGUGUAACCACAC
rnacentral:misc_RNA from 1 species